CCCUUAGAUGUUCUGGGCUGCACGCGCGCUACACUGACGCACGCAACAGGUGCCUGCUCCGAGAGGACUGGGUAAUCAUUUGAGUGUGCGUCGUGAUGGGGAUAGAAUAUUGUAAUUAUUACUCUUCAACGAGGAAUUCCUAGUAAGCGCCAGUCAGCAGCUUGCGCUGAUUACGUCCCUGCCCUUUGUACACACCGCCCGUCGCUCCUACCGAUGGGUGAUCCGGUGAAUGAUUCGGACUUCAGCGGCUCCCCUGGGGUGCGCCGGAGAGAGUUUUGUGAACCUUAUCACUUGGAGGAAGGAGAAGUCGUAACA
rnacentral:rRNA from 1 species